GACGAACGCUGGCGGCGUGCCUAAUACAUGCAAGUCGAACGCUUCUUUCCUCCCGAGUGCUUGCACUCAAUUGGAAAGAGGAGUGGCGGACGGGUGAGUAACACGUGGGUAACCUACCCAUCAGAGGGGGAUAACACUUGGAAACAGGUGCUAAUACCGCAUAACAGUUUAUGCCGCAUGGCAUAAGAGUGAAAGGCGCUUUCGGGUGUCGCUGAUGGAUGGACCCGCGGUGCAUUAGCUAGUUGGUGAGGUAACGGCUCACCAAGGCCACGAUGCAUAGCCGACCUGAGAGGGUGAUCGGCCACACUGGGACUGAGACACGGCCCAGACUCCUACGGGAGGCAGUAGUAGGGAAUCUUCGGCAAAGGACGAAAGUCUGACCGAGCAACGCCGCGUGAGUGAAGAAGGUUUUCGGAUCGUAAAACUCUGUUGUUAGAGAAGAACAAGGACGUUAGUAACUGAACGUCCCCUGACGGUAUCUAACCAGAAAGCCACGGCUAACUACGUG
rnacentral:rRNA from 1 species